ensembl:lncRNA novel transcript
AGCAAGAUUAGAGCCUCUCUCUGGAUUGUUCCUCAGAACCAGAAGAACUGUGUGGAGUGGCAGCAACUGGAGGAAGCAGAAUGUCCCCGAGCAAGAUUGUCAAGAGAAAAAAGUUACAUGUAUAAAAUCUACAGUAGAAUUGGAAGAUGGAUCUAAUGAGAAUAACACUAAGGAAACACCAUCCUUCAAAAACUAAAAGCUCCUUGAUGAGACAAGAAAAUGAAGUGUCCCAGAAGAGGAAAUGCACAUCAGCCAUUUUCAUUUCACGUGGGAAGAACAAUAUGAGACAAACAACCUAAGAUUAAAUGAAACCAGUUGGAUUGGAGAGAUGCAUUUACAUUUUACCACCUGGAUAAGUGUAUUUUCCUCUUGUGGCUUUAUAGGCUUGGGGGCUAUUGAAAAAUAUCUGUCUAUAAAUUGAAUCAACACUCAUUAAACUCAUUAAGAGAAAUGUAGUUAGGAAUUUAGUAUGGAAAGCAAGCCCUUCGUUUUUAUUGGAUUUUACAAUAGGGAGCACUCUAAGCUUUUAGACAUUAAGGCAGGAAGGGGCUAACUAUAGAAAUUACUCCAGUGUGGGCUUCGACUUUGGAGAGGCUAUGCUUCUCUAGAGAGAAUGUAUGCACAGCAGAAGAGUAAGAUGAGGCAGAUAUUUUAUUUCCUACACAUCCCAAAAUAAUAACCCUACUCUGAUUUAUCUUACCAUUACCCCAUUUUUUCUCCCCCUCAUCCACAACAGUUCUCUAACUCCUGCCUGGUUUUCCUUUAGUUUCAUAACUCUUCACAGAUGACUUUUGAAAAUAUUUCACUCUCUGCAGCCUGAUGAUGACGACGAAUAUUUUGCUGUAUGUUCAGAAACAAUAAAUUAUUAUAUAAUUAUCACUGUGCACAAGA